UACGUAGGGUGCGAGCGUUAAUCGGAAUUACUGGGCGUAAAGCGUGCGCAGGCGGUCUGUUAAGACCGAUGUGAAAUCCCCGAGCUUAACUUGGGAAUUGCGCUCGAAACUACGGAGCUGGAGUGUGGCAGAGGAAGGUGGAAUUCCACGUGUAGCGGUGAAAUGCGUAGAGAUGUGGAGGAACACCGAUGGCGAAGGCAGCCUUCUGGGCCAACACUGACGCUCAUGCACGAAAGCGUGGGGAGCAAACAGG
rnacentral:rRNA from 1 species